AAGAGGACAUAAAGGACGCCGUGGCAGGAGGCCGUGGAGCUGUUUCUUUGGAACCAGUGUCAGACCUGGAGGAGGAGCCAGACCCAGUAACAGUACAAAGUAAAACAGUUAAAGCAGCAGAGCUGGAUGUGAGGAUGAGGCGCUCUUUGCUCUGUAUGCUGGAGUUAUUCUGGCUCUGUACACUCUGCUAUGGUGAUGCUGAAGACCAUGACAAGGCUACACUGACAGCAGACAGCACAACCAUACCAGCAGGGGCAGUGUGACACUGACCUGUGAUGUGAAGGAAUCUGCUGACUUAAAAUAUGAGUGGUUCAGACAAACGUCAUCUGAAGAAAAGUCCAUAAAAACUCAUGAAUCAGGCAGAGCGAUCUCUGUGUCUGAAGGAGGCACGUACAUCUGCAGAGGAUGGAGAAGAGACACAAAUUCAUCCCAAACAGAAAGUGAUCCAGUCGUCAUUCAGCAAACUGUCCAACUUACAGUACAUGACAAGGCCACUCUGACAGCAAACAGCACAACCAUACCAGCAGGGGGCAGUGUGACACUGACCUGUGAUGUGAAGGAAUCUGCUGACUUAAAAUAUGAGUGGUUCAGACAAACGUCAUCUAACGAAAAGUCCAUAAUAACUAAUGAAUCAGGCAGAGCGAUCUCUGUGUCUGAAGGAGGAAAUUACACCUGUAGAGCUGAAGGGAAAAAUAUCAUCAUUACAGAAAGUGACUCAGUCACAGUUCAGGAAACCGUUCGUAACAGCAUCACAGUGAAACUGCAGCACAGCUGGUCUCAGAUAUUCACUGGUGAGACAAUCGCUCUCAGAUGUGAGAUUCAGGGAGGUGAAGGAAAGGUGUGGAAAUAUGAAUGGACAGCACCCAACACAAACAGCCCUCCAACAUCCAGUGAAUACAGGAUCAGCAGAGUUUCAGUGUCCCACAGUGGAGACUACAGAUGUCGGGGUAGCAGUGACUAUCUCUUAACAGGAUGGAGUGAUGCCUUCAGACUGACAGUUUCAUCAAGUAAACCCAGAGCCACACUGACAGCACAAAGUUCAAUCAUACCAGCAGGGGGCAGUGUGACACUGAACUGCUCUGUGGAGGGCUCUGCUGGCUGGAAGUUUGACUGGUUCAGACGUGAUUCAGUCUCUUC